rnacentral:tRNA from 1 species
GGGAUGGUGGUGGAAUUGGUAGACACGCUAGCUUGAGGUGCUAGUCCGGGGUUCCGGUUGUGGGUUCGAGUCCCAUCUGUCCCA